AUAAUAUAGUAUCUUAUCUUUUGGCAAAUUGGAUCAAGAUGGACAAUGGUUCUUUAGAGAGUUCUUCUCAUAAUCCCAUGGAAACGGUCUUACAUGGAAUCAUAGCUACGGUUCAUGAUAACGGUACGUGCUCAAGGCCGCGAAAUUGAGAAAAAUAGCUAUUCAAUCAAUCAAAAAUAUUAUUCAAACAUGCGCUCGGGACAAGCUGGUCAACUUGGAAUUUUUUGGAAGCAUUGAUAAAUAUGUAUAAAUGUGUUAUGUAUAUUAUUGUUUAUUAAAUAUCAGUGGCGAAUCAUGGACUCAUAAUUGUUUGACAAGGUAGUAUUAGUGAUAUAAGUGAUAUUUUCCUUAAAAAAUUGUAUUUUAUCUACCAACAUUUAAAUAUUGGUUUUAAAUUUAUAAGUAAAUUGUAGAUGGUAAGUGUGUUGAUAUUAUAUUUUUUUUUUAAAGUAAGGAGCACCAUCCAAGAAUUGGUACAUUAUAGAUAUUAAUAUAUUAUAAAUUAUUUCAGGCUUGACGGAAAUUGGAGUCUACACACCUAUGCCUACAUUAAACAAUCUAUAAGUACACUAUAAAUGCUAUAUUUUUAUCCUAAUAAUGAAGUAUUGUGCGUUUUUAUAUUUAAUAUAUAAUAUACGUAAAAUGAAUAUACCCAUUAUUAAUUCAAAGAAA